UAAAAGGGGCUGCAAACGUUCAUUCACCAAAGCAUUCUCCAGGCUCCUCACCUGACAGAGGACGCCAUCCCUGCUUCUUAAGGUGAGAAGAUUGAGGCCUGGAGGAAUCGCCUGUAAGCCCCAGAUCCCUGGCUGACUGGCAGAGGAGACAGCACUCUGGCUGCAGGGCUCUGGCCAGGUGAACAGAAGCUACAGUAAGAAGACCAACAUGAAAGCCAAAAUUUGACUUCUCGACCAUUUAAUAGAGAAUGAAA